GGGGGUGCAAGCGUUAAUCGGAAUUACUGGGCGUAAAGCGCACGCAGGCGGUUUGUUAAGUCAGAUGGAAAUCCCCGGGCUCAAACUGGGAACUGCAUUUGAAACUGGCAAGCUAGAGUCUCGUAGAGGGGGGUAGAAUUCCAGGUGUAGCGGUGAAAUGCGUAGAGAUCUGGAGGAAUACCGGUGGCGAAGGCGGCCCCCUGGACGAAGACUGACGCUCAGGUGCGAAAGCGUGGGGAGCAAACAGGAUUAGAUACCCUGGUAGUCAGGCAGGUCCUGGGGGCCGCCUCUGCAACUUGCCCCCGAGAGGUCUUUUCGCCUUCCAA
rnacentral:rRNA from 1 species